GCCUACGGGGCGCAGCAGUGAGGAAUAUUGGUCAAUGGGCGGAAGCCUGAACCAGCCAAGUCGCGUGAGGGAAUAAGGCCCUACGGGUCGUAAACCUCUUUUGCCGGGGAGCAAGGGCGGGGACGUGUCCCGGCCCGGAGAGUACCCGGAGAAAAAGCAUCGGCUAACUCCGUGCCAGCAGCCGCGGUAAUACGGAGGAUGCGAGCGUUAUCCGGAUUUAUUGGGUUUAAAGGGUGCGUAGGCGGGCCUUUAAGUCAGCGGUAAAAAUUCGGGGCUCAACCACGUCCGGCCGUUGAAACUGGGGG
rnacentral:rRNA from 1 species